UACGGAAGGCAGCAGUGGGGAAUAUUGCACAAUGGGCGAAAGCCUGAUGCAGCUAUGCCGCGUGUAUGAAGAAGGCCUUAGGGUUGUAAAGUACUUUCAUCGGGGAGGAAAAAACAAAACUAAUAAUUUUAUUUCUUGACGUUACCCGAAAAAGAAGCACCGGCUAACUCCGUGCCAGCAGCCGCGGUAAUACGGAGGGUGCUAGCGUUAAUCAGAAUUACUGGGCGUAAAGAGCACGUAGGUGGUUUUUUUAAGUCAGAUGUGAAAUCCCUGGGCUUAACCUAGGAACUGCAUUUUGAAACUGAAAUACUAGAGUAUCGUAGAGGGAGGUAGAAUUCUAGGUGUAGCGGUGAAAUGCGUAGAUAUCUGGAGGAAUACCUGUGGCGAAAGCGGCCUCCUAAACGAAUACUGACACUGAGGUGCGAAAGCGUGGGGAGCAAACAGGGAUUUAGAUACCCGU
rnacentral:rRNA from 1 species